AUGGCCAAUGGGACACUUCAGGAGCACCUGUACAACACCAACAAACCACCAUUGCCAUGGGAGCACCGCCUUGUCAUAUGCAUUGGAGCCGGACUGGGGCUGCACUACCUGCACAUGGGUGCCAAACAGGCCAUCAUCCACCGUGAUGUGAAGAGUACUAACAUUUUGUUGGAUGACAAGUGGGUGGCAAAGGUUUCGGACUUUGGGUUGUCUAAGGCUAGUAAAGACGUGGACAAUACCCAUGUGAGCACUGCUGUGAAAGGCACCUUUGGAUAUCUAGAUCCUGAGUACUUCCGCAGGCGGCGACUCACCAACAAAUCAGAUGUAUACUCCUAUGGGGUUGUUUUGUUUGAGGUUCUGUGCGCACGUCCAGCAAUUGAUCCUAAGCUUCCCGAGGAGCAAGUGGGCUUGCGUGACUGGGCGCUGUCUUGCCAGAGGAAAGGUGUGCUCGGUGAGAUCAUCGACCCCUAUCUGAAGGGCAAAAUCACCCCCCAGUGCUUCAGAAAAUUUGCAGAGACUGCGGAGAAAUGUGUUGCUGAACGUAGCAUAGAUCGGCCAUCUAUGAGUGAUGUUCUGUGGAGCCUCCAGAUCGCACUGCUGCUGCAGGAGGAUGACUGCAAUCUCUCCAAGGGGACACCAUUGUUGAACAUGUCAUCACUCAUGGCCACCAGGGUGCGACCAUCUUCAGGUUCAACAAUGAGCAUCUCAGGACAGAAAGUUGUAUUCUCAGAGAUCAUGCAUCCAGAUGGCCGAUAA
rnacentral:rRNA from 1 species